rnacentral:rRNA from 1 species
UACGAAGGGGGCUAGCGUUGCUCGGAAUCACUGGGCGUAAAGGGUGCGUAGGUGGAUUUUUAAGUCAGGGGUGAAAUCCUGGAGCUCAACUCCAGAACUGCCUUUGAUACUGGGAAUCUUGAGUUCGGGAGAGGUGAGUGGAACUGCGAGUGUAGAGGUGAAAUUCGUAGAUAUUCGCAAGAACACCAGUGGCGAAGGCGGCUCACUGGCCCGAUACUGACACUGAGGCACGAAAGCGUGGGGAGCAAACAGG